rnacentral:rRNA from 1 species
UACGGAGGGUGCGAGCGUUGUUCGGAAUCACUGGGCGUAAAGCGCGUGUAGGCGGCCCACUAAGUCUGAUGUGAAAGCCCGGGGCUCACCCCCGGAAGUGCAUUGGAAACUGGUGGACUCGAGUCCCGGAGAGGAGAGUGGAAUUCCUGGUGUAGCGGUGAAAUGCGUAGAUAUCGUAAGGAAGACCAGUGGCGAAGGCGGGUCUCUGGACAGUUCCUGACACUGAGACACGAAGGCCAGGGGAGCAAACGGG